GAUGAACGCUGGCGGCGUGCCUGAUACAUGCAAGUAGAACGCUGAAGGAGGAGCUUGCUCUUCUGGAUGAGUUGCGAACGGGUGAGUAACGCGUAGGUAACCUGCCUGGUAGCGGGGGAUAACUAUUGGAAACGAUAGCUAAUACCGCAUGACAACAGUUAUUGCAUGAUAACUGUUUAAAAGGGGCAACUGCUCCACUACCAGAUGGACCUGCGUUGUAUUAGCUAGUUGGUGAGGUAACGGCUCACCAAGGCGACGAUACAUAGCCGACCUGAGAGGGUGAUCGGCCACACUGGGACUGAGACACGGCCCAGACUCCUACGGGAGGCAGCAGUAGGGAAUCUUCGGCAAUGGACGGAAGUCUGACCGAGCAACGCCGCGUGAGUGAAGAAGGUUUUCGGAUCGUAAAGCUCUGUUGUAAGAGAAGAACGAGUGUGAGAGUGGAAAGUUCACACUGUGACGGUAUCUUACCAGAAAGGGACGGCUAACUACGUG
rnacentral:rRNA from 1 species